rnacentral:rRNA from 1 species
AGAUUUCCGAAUGGGGAAACCCAGCAUGAGUUAUGUCAUGUUAUCGAUAUGUGAAUACAUAGCAUAUCAGAAGGCACACCCGGAGAACUGAAACAUCUUAGUACCCGGAGGAAGAGAAAGAAAAUUCGAUUCCCUUAGUAGCGGCGAGCGAAACGGGAAGAGCCCAAACCAACAAGCUUGCUUGUUGGGGUUGUAGGACACUCUAUACGGAGUUACAAAGGACGACAUUAGACGAAUCAUCUGGAAAGAUGAAUCAAAGAAGGUAAUAAUCCUGUAGUCGAAAAUGUUGUCUCUCUUGAGUGGAUCCUGAGUACGACGGAGCACGUGAAAUUCCGUCGGAAUCUGGGAGGACCAUCUCCUAAGGCUAAAUACU